rnacentral:rRNA from 1 species
UACGUAGGGUGCAAGCGUUAUCCGGAAUUAUUGGGCGUAAAGAGCUCGUAGGCGUUUGUCGCGUCUGCUGUGAAAACUGGAGGCUCAACCUCCAGCCUGCAGUGGGUACGGGCAGACUAGAGUGCGGUAGGGGAGAUUGGAAUUCCUGGUGUAGCGGUGGAAUGCGCAGAUAUCAGGAGGAACACCGAUGGCGAAGGCAGAUCUCUGGGCCGUAACUGACGCUGAGGAGACGAAAGCAUGGGGAGCGAACAGG